rnacentral:antisense_RNA from 1 species
CUUGACGGAACCGAGCCGCAGCGGACGCCCCUCCGGCCGGUCGCGGCCGUAGGUGGCGAGCAGCGCCUGGGCCUC